AACUUUGUCUGCAGCAUGAGGACCUGGCAAAGAAGAGCAUUGCGGCACUGGCUCGAGAACUUGAGGUGUGCCAGGAUAUGGCCAUUCGCAACAAUGUUGUCAUUGUGAUGUGUGACCUCUGCAUCCGCUAUACCACCAUGGUGGACAGGAAGAAUUUGUGAAAUGGAGAGGAUCGCUUUUCUUCAGAUUUGUCAGUGUUUUGGUGGACCCAGAUCAGGACAUCGCCAGCUUAGCCAAAUUCUGCUUGGCCCACCUCCUGCUCAAGAGGAAUCCAGUGAUGUUCUCCCAGCACUUCAUCGAAUGCAUCUUCCACUUCAACAGCUAUGAGAGACACGAAAAAUACAACAGAUUCCCCCAGAGU